AGUAGCCGCGGUAAUACGUAGGGUGCGAGCGUUAAUCGGAAUUACUGGGCGUAAAGCGUGCGCAGGCGGUUGUGUAAGACAGGUGUGAAAUCCCCGGGCUUAACCUGGGAACUGCGCUUGUGACUGCACAGCUAGAGUAUGGCAGAGGGGGGUGGAAUUCCACGUGUAGCAGUGAAAUGCGUAGAGAUGUGGAGGAACACCGAUGGCGAAGGCGGCCAUCUGGGACAACACUGACGCUGAGGCACGAAAGCGUGGGGAGCAAACAGGAUUAGAUACCCGUGUAGUCCCUGUCUCUUAUACA
rnacentral:rRNA from 1 species